CACGUAGGGUGCGAGCGUUGUCCGGAAUUAUUGGGCGUAAAGAGCUCGUAGGCGGUGUGUCGCGUCGGCCGUGAAAACUUGGGGCUUAACUCUGAGCGUGCGGUCGAUACGGGCAUCACUUGAGUUCGGCAGGGGAGACUGGAAUUCCUGGUGUAGCGGUGAAAUGCGCAGAUAUCAGGAGGAACACCGGUGGCGAAGGCGACAUCCUGGACCGGCAUUGACGCUGAGGCGCGAAAGCCAGGGGAGCAAACGGG
rnacentral:rRNA from 1 species